rnacentral:snRNA from 1 species
GUGCUCAUUUCAGCAGUACAUAUAAUAAAAUUGGAACAAUACAGGGAAGAUUAGGAUGGCCCCUGCACAAGAAUGACACAUAAAUUCAUGAAGCAUUUCAUAUUUUC